GUAGCUGGCGGUACAACGUGAACUGAUGUGCAAUUGUGAGCCGCAUGGUUCUCAUUCUAAGCUACAGCUAUGGGGCGUAUUUUGAAAAGUGUUUUAUGUAAAAAGCCUUUGUUGCGUUAGAUUCGUGGACGCGUGCGGAGUUCAGUGUUUUAUGAUUUUAAGUGUUUAUUUCGUGUGUGAUUUUUGAAAAACUGGAAUGUUUAAAUCGCCUUGGAUUUGUUGUCAAACGAUUCAAGGAAAUAGGAUAAAGUUGAAGUUUUCACUUCUAAUCACUGACGUACAACCUGUCCCAUUACUUCGAGAGACCCGGCAUCACCGUGUUCGUACCCGUGUCCUCCUCCAUCGAUGUCUUCCUUACCGAGGCCGCCUGGUUUGGUUACAACACAAGUGAUCGUGCAACCGUGGAGAGCAUACUUAUAUAUCACAUAGCGGAAUCGGUAACGAGUGUAGCUGAUAUGUCCUCACAGAAAUCCGCCAUGACUCCUCUUGAAGGACAGAGGCGGCUGUUCUUCGGAAGUUACAACUACGGAGACUCGUUUGUACACACCGUAAACGGGGCUUGCAUUCUGACCGCUGACAUCCUUGCUAGCAACGGAAUAGUUCACCUGGUGGACAGGUUCCUGAUACCAAUACAGUCCAAAAAGACGGUCGCAGAUUAUCUGGAGCAUCCGGAUAUAACGAGGUUUUCAUUUCAAUCAAUUAGGUUGGCAUCUAUCAUUGACUUGCAACUUAAGUCUGCCACGAAUUCUUCAACGAAUCGCUUCACCGUGUUUGCUCCGAAUGACUCCGACAUCAUCAUAAUGCCGGACUUUGGCAAGGAUAUUUUGUUUAAUGAUACGGCUUUGCUGAAAUCGGUACGAACUCUUUUGCGUCUGGUUUAUUCGCACCGUUUUGUCACGUUCGAUUGGACAU